rnacentral:lncRNA from 1 species
GCUCUUCACUCUCUCUUUGCACACUCUCCCUGCUCUCUCUUGCGUUGCCUUUGCACACCUUUCUUGCUCUCUCCCUCUCCACUCUCUCUCUCUCUCCCUCUCCACUCUCUCGCUCUCUCUCCCUCGCUCCUCCAACAUUGCGUCCUCUAUCCCUCUGCAGUAAACUCAUACACUGUAUGAGUCCACCAUUCUUUAUUCACCUCUGCAUCAUCUCUUGAUCCUUUUUGUUUUCUCUCUUCUUUGCUAGUCUUUCUAUUUAGUUUGCUUGUUUGUUUUCCUUUUGCCAAAUAUUUCAUAGGUUUUCCUUUCUUUUUUUGUAUAUCCUUCAGUUUUCUUCUGUCAUUUCUGCCUCUACCUUCUGUAAGUCUUCACAAAGUUUCUAAACUCCUUUAUCAACGCCUACUCAACAUGGAGGUACUCUGCAAAGAAGAAUCUGAGGACAAUCUGACAUCUGCUGACACAGAUGUCAUCUGUGGGCGGAGGGGAGAAUUGGAGAGAAGAUUGGGAAAACCCAGGCGAAUUCUCAGGCUAAUUUCUGAUGCGAUGCCAAGGGCUCCUCUUCAAACACCCAUCAUGCUCUCGGGUGGCGCUUCUGUAAAGGUUUGGCGAGAUACGUGGGCGGGGGGGCGUUUAAGCACACGCGCACAUAGACAAACACAUACACAAAUUGAACGGGUGGAUGAAAUAUGAUGGGAUGGAGAGGUAGGGUGACAGGUGCAACCACUAAGGUAAUGAGUGAAGAAGAUUGCACUAAAUUUCAGUCAGCAGCUUUUAGAAUGGAGAAACUGGCAAGAGCACACCUCUUUGUCAGUUUUAUGUAAUGCUACUUAAAGCACAUGACAUGCCUACAUAAAUAGCCAUGAAUUAAUGAGGUAUGUAGACAUUCACAUGUCAACACAACAUACUAGACUUAUAUAUAUGUGUCAUUGUUGAUUUAUUGAUUGGAUGUAUUAAUGUAGACCAAUGUGCAUGGGAAGACUUGUAUUGUGUGUAUGGGUGUAUAACUUAAGUAAAAAAAAUGCAUAAUAAAAGAAUUGGCCACAAUAAAUAAUGUAAUGUA